CAUCAAGUUGGAUAUAAAAGUCCCCACAAGUAUCAAUAAAAGACUGAUGGUGCCUUUUAUUAUUCUUUGGGCUGAAGUGAGAAACUGGAAGGCUAAAAGACAUGCGGAUAAAUGUGACAGGCCGAGUAUGCUCUGUAGUGUCAGCUCCUUCCCAAAACCCCGCUAACACUAUGGCAAAGAAAAGGUAUAAACUUACAAGAACGAAGAAAAAUGGAGAGAAAAAGAUAUCAGAGAAGAAAGAUCAGCAGAACUUGGGAACGUGAAAAGUGGAAGGCUGAGUGCUGUCUUGGCAGAAGGGAAAGCUGAGAGGCAGCAGGCCAGCUCACAUCCAAGAACCUCGGAAGAGCUCAGGAAUUGAAUUGCUUGUGAGUAAGCACGUAAUGCACACAUAAACACCAGAACAUCAAUCAGUCAGCAUUUAUUAAACUUCUACUCUGAAACCAGUAUUACUACAAUAAUGACAUUAUGAAAACAACCCAGAGAACUCUUUCCACAUGGACUGGCUAUGGGAGCAGAGUUGUUAGGCUAAAAUGAGACCAUAGCUGUGAAUAUCCUUUGGCAGGAAA
rnacentral:lncRNA from 10 species